UACGUAGGGUGCGAGCGUUAAUCGGAAUUACUGGGCGUAAAGGGUGCGCAGGCGGUCUUGCAAGUCAGAUGUGAAAUCCCCGGGCUUAACCUGGGAACUGCGUUUGUGACUGUGGUGCUCGAGUGCGGCAGAGGGGGGUGGAAUUCCACGUGUAGCAGUGAAAUGCGUAGAGAUGUGGAGGAACACCGAUGGCGAAGGCAGCCCCCUGGGUCGACACUGACGCUCAUGCACGAAAGCGUGGGGAGCAAAC
rnacentral:rRNA from 1 species